rnacentral:pre_miRNA from 1 species
GCAACAUUCAGACCGUCGCGUCGGUCUACCGAGCAAAAUCCCCCGCUCCGUGGAAGAUUAUCCCUUCGUCGU